CUCUGGUGCUCGGGCAUAACGAGGGUGGCGACUUCGGUGCACACUGGAUAUGAGUGUGGGAAGGUCGCUGUCCUGGCUGCAGCAGAGCAAGACAGAGGAUGGGCCAUGAGCAGCCAGUGGAGCCGCGAGCCUGGGCAGUGAGGUCUGAUGCACUGGGCACUUCCAGCUUCCAGAGACUGGACAGGGGCAGCCCAGGCUGCAGCGGCCAGCGCUGGUGAGAACUCUGCUUGGGACCUCGUCACACCCAAGGCCAAGUGCACAUGAGGGGCCACAACAGGAGGGGAUGGCCCCUCGGGGGGAGGCCCAGCCACUGGGUUUCCCUAAAGGCCUUGCUGGCAAAUUUAUCCUGUAGCGUCCCAA